rnacentral:lncRNA from 1 species
UUCACGUAUUUCUCCUGCCUCAUUCUUUCUUUUCGUUUGGUUGCUGACUGUUCGUGAGGCGCUCUUUUUUCGUGUGAUCUAUUUCACAAAUAUAUCGAGACCGAAUACCCAAAAUCUAUAAAUUCUUAAAACUGUGUGUAGGAAAAUUUAACCUCCGCUGUAUGUCGCUUAGGCUAAAAUUUCGGAAUUUAUAAAAUAAUAAUGGGUCUUAAAAGUACAAUUUCUUUUCUAACGAGUACAUUUCGUUUCGUAGGGGCCGCUACGAACCCUUCGUCGACCGUCGUCGACGAACAUUCUGAAUGGCAUACAGAACGUAAUCUGACGGAUAUUAUGGUGACCUCCACGACACCAGAAACGACCGCGACGACCUUAAGAUCUCGAAAAACGCCAAGAUCGAGGCUACCGAUAACAGAGAGAACGAGGA